CCCUUAGAUGUCCUGGGCCGCACGCGCGCUACACUGACAUGUUCAACAAGUUUCUCCUAGUUCGACAGGACUGGGAAAUCUUUGAACGCAUGUCGUGAUAGGGAUAGAUCAUUGCAAUUAUUGAUCUUGAACGAGGAAUUCCUAGUAAACGCGAGUCAUCAGCCCGCAUUGAUUACGUCCCUGCCCUUUGUACACACCGCCCGUCGCACCUACCGAUUGAAUGUUUCGGUGAAGAUUCCGGAUAGGACUGACUUGAUUUAUUUCAUUUCUGACCUAAAAGCUAUCUAAACCUCAACAUUUAGAGGAAGGUGAAGUCGUAACA
rnacentral:rRNA from 1 species